GACGAACGCUGGCGGCGUGCUUAACACAUGCAAGUCGAACGGUGAAGCGCCUUCCUUUUUGGUGGGUGUGGAUGAGUGGCGAACGGGUGAGUAACACGUGAGUAACCUGCCCCCUUCUUCUGGAUAACCGCAUGAAAGUGUGGCUAAUACGGGAUAUUCUGGGUCUGUCGCAUGAUGGGUCUGGGACAGAUAUUGUUUCGGUGGGGGAUGGGCUCGCGGCCUAUCAGCUUGUUGGUGGGGUGAUGGCCUACCAAGGCGGUGACGGGUAGCCGGCCUGAGAGGGUGGACGGCCACACUGGGACUGAGACACGGCCCAGACUCCUACGGGAGGCAGCAGUGGGGAAUAUUGCACAAUGGGCGCAAGCCUGAUGCAGCGACGCCGCGUGAGGGAUGGAGGCCUUCGGGUUGUGAACCUCUUUCGCCAGUGAAGCAGGCCUGCCUCGUUUGUGGGUGGGUUGACGGUAGCUGGAUAAGAAGCGCCGGCUAACUACGUG
rnacentral:rRNA from 1 species